UCCUCCGUGGCGCAAUUGGCUAGCGCGUUCGACUGUUACCUACGGUCAUCGAGAGGUUGGUGGUUCGAGCCCACCCGGGGGAG
rnacentral:tRNA from 1 species